UACGUAGGGGGCGAGCGUUGUCCGGAUUUAUUGGGCGUAAAGAGCUCGUAGGCGGUUUUGGUAAGUCGGGUGUGAAAACUCCAGGCUCAACCUGGAGAUGCCACCCGAGACUGCUAUGACUGGAGUCUGGUAGGGGAGCACGGAAUUCCUGGUGUAGCGGUGAAAUGCGCAGAUAUUAGGAGGAACACCAAUAGCGAAGGGCAGCUCGC
rnacentral:rRNA from 1 species